UCCCGGCGGCGCCGCUGGGAGUGAAGCCGCCCGCGGCCAUCUUGGAUUCGGGCUGAGGGGCUCGGCGGGGGGGGGGGAGGGACGGCGGCCGCCAUUUUGAGUGCGGGCGUGAAGUCAGCGGCCUGCCCGGGCCGUGUCCCCAGGGAGCCAUGUUAGGUGUGGGCAGCCCCGACCCUCCCGCUGGGGCCAUUUUAAGGCCGGGCAGAGACGUCUCUUGGAGUUCACGGAGUGAUUGGGUGGAGGAAGGCGGUGUAUCCAAUCUGCAGUGAAAUGUUGAAAAGCAAACCCUCUGAAGAAGUCAAGAUGAUUUACCUCUGCUUUUUGCCCAAGCAGAGAGAAAUGGGAAGCAGGAUGUGUGGUGUCAUCUCAGUGCAUCUCUGGGGGCUAGAGUUACAGAAGGACUGGGACAAUGAGAAAGUGCUACAGAUAGCACAGUUCCAUGGAUAUGAAGAUCCAGGACAGUUGCUUAGUUUACUUUGACAUCUUCAGAAGGAGAAGCUGCAGGGUCACAGCAGUAGGAUGAGCUCUUGUAGUGGCUUGAAGCAACCCAAGCAGCAGUGGAGGAUGUUGCAGCAGCAGGUAUGAAACACCUUUUCUGAGUCCUUUUGCUUGUUCUGCACUGAUUUGUUGAUGUUUGACUGUCUUGCUCUCCUUGUAUUCAUUUCCAUGCUCUAUUACAA